rnacentral:rRNA from 1 species
AUUGAACGCUGGCGGCAGGCUUAACACAUGCAAGUCGAGCGAGCGGCGGACGGGUGAGUAAUGUCUGGGAAACUGCCUGAUGGAGGGGGAUAACUACUGGAAACGGUAGCUAAUACCGCAUACCAUCAGAUGUGCCAAGAUGGGAUUAGCUAGUAGGUGGGGUAAUGGCUCACCUAGGGGACGAUCCCUAGCUGGUGUGAGAGGCUGACCAGCCACACUGGAACGAGGACACGGUCCAGACGCCUAAGGGAGGCAGCAGUGGGGAAUAUUGCACCAUGGGCGCAAGCCUGAUGCAGCCAUGCCGCGUGUGUGAAGAAGGCCUUCGGGUUGUAAAGCACUGUCAGCGAGGAGGCGUUACUCGCAGAAGAAGCACCGGCUAACUCCGUGCCAGAAGCCGCGGUAAUUC